UACGUAGGGUGCGAGCGUUGCCCGGAUUUAUUGGGCGUAAAGGGCGCGUAGGCGGCUCUGCACGUCCGUUGUGAAAUCGCCCGGCUCAACUGGGCGGGGUCAGCGGAUACGGCAGAGCUUGAGCAAGCUAGGGGGCAAUGGAAUUCCCGGUGUAGUGGUGGAAUGCGUAGAUAUUGGGAAGAACACCUGAGGCGAAGGCGGGUUGCUGGGCCGACACUGACGCUGAGGCACGAAAGCGUGGGGAGCAAACAGG
rnacentral:rRNA from 1 species